rnacentral:misc_RNA from 1 species
UCCUUCCACACAGGAUCCCUCAAGGAGAGCGAGACGCCGCACUCCGCCCUCAGAGCCCACCGGCAGCGCCCCGCUCCGUCGUAUCAAGAGUAUCGCCGGCCCUUGCAGCACCAUCCUGCGUAGGACCACACGCGCUCUUUUCGAAUCUCCCCCUUUGCCACGUCAUGCGAGCGCACGCCUUCUUGCGCUGCGCCGCCAGGGUGAUGGCUCCAGGGGCAGCCACAUGCACCUCCUCCGUCUCUUCCUCGCCCUCACCCUCGUCGUAUUCCGCAGCGUCUGCCCACAGCACCAUGCACGCGUUUCGCACGCGUGACAUUACGCUGCGUGUGCCCAGCAAAGACAAGCUUCUGCGCUUCUCCUUUUGCUCUGCCCGCCAUCUCCUGGCUGAGACGAUCCGUCGGCACGACCUCCUGCGGAGCACCAGGGCUCAUGUGGGCUUCUUGCAGCUCCUCGGAACACAGAUCACGUUUGCAAACCUGCUUGCCUCCGCACUAGAGGGCGAGGAGCGAGUGGAAGCUCGAUUCACCGCGGAAGAGGCCACCAUCUUGACGGAGGCGCUGGCGCUGGGGGAGUGUCGGUGCUACCUGCGACCCGAGUACAAUGCGCAGCUGGCGGAAUGUGGUCUUCCGACGUUCCCGCUGCGCGUGAACCGUAUCCUGUAUCGCCAGGAGAAGCCUUUUUCGUCGGUCGUGCACGCCGAUCUGGCCGAGCUCCUUCAGCCCCCUUGUGGCGUCGCCUCCAACUCCGCUGCUGCUGCCACUGGCGCAAACGAAGCCAGCGAUGCACCGUUCUCCUUGUAUCUGCCUGGCACGGAGAGGCGGGUGCCGCUGGAGGCGUGGAAGAGCUUCUUCUCCUACAACAGCAGCCUGCACGCCUACAACUACCUGCGCCGGUCCGACGGCAGCGUCCCGGCGGUGUGGCUGCAGUCCCGGGUCGACGCGGCCAGGCUUAUGGACCACGGAUUCUUGAACGCGGACGGCACUGCUGCAGCUGCUGCAUGGCAGCGUGGCGAGGCGUGCAGUGACGAGGACGAAGAGAAGAAGGCGCAAGAUAUCCGGCGAGCUCUUCUGCAUGCAAUCCCAUUCAGCUUUGGUGUGGUGGUGACGCCGCUGGCUGCUGGCGUUGCGGUAGACCAACGUGUGAACCAGCUGAACCGUGUAGUGAUGGAGUCCGCCGCGCUGCUGAGCGCAUCGCCAGGCGGCGGCGCAACGGUCACCUCGGCUCUGCAGCCGCUUCUAGAUCGAUGCGCAGAGAAGCACACUGCGUGCCAGCACAUCCUGUCUCUGGUUUCUGGCGACCACGAUGGUGCCUAUCAAGCCGCGGUGGCGGCUCGGCAGUACAACGACGAUCCGGCGCAGGUGGCUGCGGUGGUGGACCCGAUACGGCGAGCGCUGGGGGUGCAGGACUUUGUGGUCCCCCUUGCGGCAGCGGAAGCGGCGCGGACGGGGUUGGACUUUUUUUGCCGCUGCUCGAAGCAGAACGUCCUGGAGUCCCUCGUCUCCGCGCCCCCUCGUGCGCUGGAGUCGCUGAAGGGGAGCGGCAACACAGUUCACUGCUCCUUUUGUGGAAGACGGUACAAGCUCGCCGGCGCAGAGUGGCAGGAGCUGGAAAUGGCUCGAUCCGCUUCCACGCCGCCGCAGCGAUCACAGUCCCUCACAGAGUAGAGUCCGCUGCUCUCUCUUCCCCUCACACGCCACGUGCACGGCCUGCCAGACUUGGCGUGCGCCGUGUACUUCACAGUUUUGUUUCCGCCUGUCACUUCGUCGUCUUACUCUGCUUGCAAGGGCCAGGCGCAUCGCAGCUGCACCAAAGCACCAUCGAGCGGAAUGCCGCGCGAGCGCCGCGUUGGAAUGCCUUAUUGAGAUGGACAACGUGGCGUGCCGUGCAGUUGCACGCUGCGCGUGGUGCAACGCGCGCAUCAUGAUUGCUGGCACGCGUGCCGCCGUCUGGGAACGUCAUAUGUUCGCCUCGCGCUCUUCCCCUCCCUGCUCUUCUGGCCUUCCUUCCCUUUCCGCUAUCAGUGGUCCCCCUCUCGCUUGUCUUAG